ACGGGCUAGGUUGGGGCUAGGGGUCCCUUUACCGCAAAUCCCCUUUAGGCGGGCCGAAUGCCUGGAAAGUCAUGUCUGGAGGCCGCGUCUUUCAUCUUAAGCGUCGAUGUCCUGCCUUGCAUGACGGUCUGUUUUGUGAAUCGGGUCAGGCCGGAAGGAGCAGCCCUAAGCACCUCAGUCCGUGCUUGUGAGACCCAGGACGGAGCAGAUGGUGAAAGCUCCACGUCUUUCAAGCAUGGCAAACCAGGAAGCCCAC
rnacentral:SRP_RNA from 1 species